AGGCCCCCUGACCUGCAUCAAGGUGGCUUCGACACGUACCCAAGUGUAUUGACACCUGGGCUUUGUGCUGGCGCAUGAGGGAUGCGUUGGAGCGGUGGCAGUCGGUGGCACUGUGACAGUAGGGACACCUGGCGGGCGAAGGGAGCCUGCAGGCCUGGCGUCCUUGUCGGUGGCCUAACCCGUCUUCCUGGCAAGGAGGGCUUGCC
rnacentral:lncRNA from 1 species